rnacentral:rRNA from 1 species
GAGUGACUAGCUACCUGAAUCAAUCUACAUUUAAUAUAUUGAUUGAUAACGUAAGGGAAAAAUAAAAGAUAUUACCUUACUAAUAGUGUCGUCCAAAGCUGGUGCCAGAAGACUCGGUAAGGCCAGAGACGCAAACGUUAGUCGUCUUAAUCAGGCGUAAAGGGUUUGUAGGCUGCUUUAAAAUUUUCCUUUUUUAUAUAGCUCUAAUUAUAAAAAUAAGUAUUCAAUGUACUAUUAAUAAAAAUAAGUUUUAAAGGGGAAAAAUAAAAGCUAGAAUCAAAUAGAGGAUAUAUUAAAUAAUGCUUAGAAUAGGGCUGAUAUCCAUAGAUAUUAAGUAGAAUAUUAACGGCGAAAGCUUUUUUUCCAAUAAUGAUUGACGCUGAGAAACGAAGGUGAGGAUAGGAAAUAGGAUUAGAUACCCAAAAUACCCCUCUCUGUCAACGAUGAAUGGUGGUUACUAAUAAUGAAUUAUUGGUGGCGAUGUUAACACGAUAACCAUUCCGCCUUGUGAGUACGACUGCAAAGUUGAAAACAAAAAAAUUAGUCGGUCUCGAAGCAAACGAAGUGAAGCAUGUUAUAUUUUUAAAAA